GGAUAGCUCAGUUCAUUAGAGCGUGGUGCUGAUAACUCCAAAGUUGCAGGUUCAAUCCCCACAAGGGACA